ensembl:snoRNA Gm54387 predicted gene, 27931
ACCCCAGCUUCCUUUCCCAUUGUUUUCCAACAUGGUCUUAGUAGCUGUAAGAAGGAAAAGCAAUACUCAAGUUGGCCAGGCCUAAUAAUGCUGUAGCCUGAAAUCUGUUGGCAAAUUUCAAACAGGG